rnacentral:rRNA from 1 species
GACGAACGCUGGCGGCGUGCCUAAUACAUGCAAGUUGAGCGCUGAAGGUUGGUACUUGUACCGACUGGAUGAGCAGCGAACGGGUGAGUAACGCGUGGGGAAUCUGCCUUUGAGCGGGGGACAACAUUUGGAAACGAAUGCUAAUACCGCAUAAAAACUUUAAACACAAGUUUUAAGUUUGAAAGAUGCAAUUGCAUCACUCAAAGAUGAUCCCGCGUUGUAUUAGCUAGUUGGUGAGGUAAAGGCUCACCAAGGCGAUGAUACAUAGCCGACCUGAGAGGGUGAUCGGCCACAUUGGGACUGAGACACGGCCCAAACUCCUACGGGAGGCAGCAGUAGGGAAUCUUCGGCAAUGGACGAAAGUCUGACCGAGCAACGCCGCGUGAGUGAAGAAGGUUUUCGGAUCGUAAAACUCUGUUGUUAGAGAAGAACGUUGGUGAGAGUGGAAAGCUCAUCAAGUGACGGUAACUACCCAGAAAGGGACGGCUAACUACGUG